rnacentral:misc_RNA from 1 species
AAGACUAUAGACCUGCGGAGUACCUGCGGAGGGAUCAUUAUCGAAUAAAUUUGGUUAGAUUGUCUGCUGGCUUUGAGAAGCAUGUGCACAUCUAAUCCAUUUUUCAAUUCCCCUGUGCAUCUUUGUGGAUCUUGUAUAACAAUGUUCGAGUCAGCAAUGGCCCGGUUUGGAAAUUUGCUGCUUAUUUGAUUUUAUAAGGCAGCUUUUUCUUUUGUUGUCAGGUCUAUGCGUUAUCCAAUA